rnacentral:rRNA from 1 species
AUGAACGCUGGCGGCGUGCCUAAUACAUGCAAGUCGAGCGAACAGACGAGGAGCUUGCUCCUCUGACGUUAGCGGCGGACGGGUGAGUAACACGUGGAUAACCUACCUAUAAGACUGGGAUAACUUCGGGAAACCGGAGCUAAUACCGGAUAAUAUAUUGAACCGCAUGGUUCAAUAGUGAAAGACGGUUUUGCUGUCACUUAUAGAUGGAUCCGCGCCGCAUUAGCUAGUUGGUAAGGUAACGGCUUACCAAGGCGACGAUGCGUAGCCGACCUGAGAGGGUGAUCGGCCACACUGGAACUGAGACACGGUCCAGACUCCUACGGGAGGCAGCAGUAGGGAAUGUUCCGCAAUGGGCGAAAGCCUGACGGAGCAACGCCGCGUGAGUGAUGAAGGUCUUCGGAUCGUAAAACUCUGUUAUUAGGGAAGAACAAAUGUGUAAGUAACUAUGCACGUCUUGACGGUACCUAAUCAGAAAGCCACGGCUAACUACGUG